rnacentral:rRNA from 1 species
UACAGAGGUGGCAAGCGUUGUUCGGAAUUACUGGGCGUAAAGGGCGCGUAGGCGGCCUUGUCAGUCAGACGUGAAAUCCCCAGGCUUAACCUGGGAACUGCGUCUGAUACUACAAGGCUGGAGUUCGGGAGAGGAAUGUGGAAUUCCAGGUGUAGCGGUGAAAUGCGUAGAUAUCUGGAGGAACACCGGUGGCGAAGGCGGCAUUCUGGACCGAAACUGACGCUGAUGCGCGAAAGCCAGGGGAGCAAACGGG